AGUUUAUGGGGGCGUUCAGGUUCUGCGGACACGCUCCGCAGGUAGGGAAUGCGGUGCGUCGAUGCAAGUCGGCUAUGCCGCAGCUGCCCCCGCAACUGUAAGCGGCAAGCUGUUUGCUGAAGCCACUGGCGAUUUCGCCGGGAAGGUGCGAAGAGCGCGAUUAGCCGCGAGCCAGGAGACCUGCCUGAGCAUGGUCGUUCAU
rnacentral:ncRNA from 1 species